GACGAACGCUGGCGGCGUGCUUAACACAUGCAAGUCGAACGGAAAGGCCCUGCUUUUGUGGGGUGCUCGAGUGGCGAACGGGUGAGUAACACGUGAGUAACCUGCCCUUGACUUUGGGAUAACUUCAGGAAACUGGGGCUAAUACCGGAUAGGAGCUCCUGCUGCAUGGUGGGGGUUGGAAAGUUUCGGCGGUUGGGGAUGGACUCGCGGCUUAUCAGCUUGUUGGUGGGGUAGUGGCUUACCAAGGCUUUGACGGGUAGCCGGCCUGAGAGGGUGACCGGCCACAUUGGGACUGAGAUACGGCCCAGACUCCUACGGGAGGCAGCAGUGGGGAAUAUUGCACAAUGGGCGGAAGCCUGAUGCAGCAACGCCGCGUGCGGGAUGACGGCCUUCGGGUUGGAAACCGCUUUCGCCUGUGACGAAGCGUGAGUGACGGUAAUGGGAAAGAAGCACCGGCUAACUACGUG
rnacentral:rRNA from 1 species